UAACGCGUGGGUAACCUGCCUUAUACAGGGGGAGUAACAAGUCAGAAAUGGCUGCUAAUACCGCAUAAGCGCACAGAGCUGCAUGGCUCAGUGUGAAAAACUCCGGUGGUAUAAGAUGGACCCGCGUUGGAUUAGCUAGUUGGUGAGGUAACGGCCUACCAAGGCGGCGAUCCAUAGCCGGCCUGAGAGGGUGAACGGCCACAUUGGGACUGAGACACGGCCCAGACUCCUACGGGAGGCAGCAUG
rnacentral:rRNA from 1 species